CCUUAUUCUACAAACUUUUUCUAUUUUUAAAAUUUUUACUUUUUAAACUUUCUUGUUAAUAAACUAAGAAACAAACACACACAUUAACCUAGGCCUACAAAGGGUCAGGAUCAUGAAGACAUCACCAAGUGACAGGAAUUUUUCAGCUCCAUUAUAAUCCUAUGGGAUGACUGUUGUCUAUGGGGUCAGUUAUUGACCAAAACGUCCUUAUGUAGCGCAUAACACAUCACAAUUCAAAAAACCAUUGAAUUGUACUCUCAAACUGGUGCAUUUUAUGUUAUGUGAACUAUAUCUUUAUAAAGCUAUUUCUAAAAAAGGACUGAGAAUUCCAUAAAAUGUUUCAUUUGUUGGUGGAAUGGCUUCAUUAAUAUAUUUUAAAAUAAUUCUCAUAGCAUCCUAUGAUAUUUGACUCAAAUCAAUAUUGACUUAUUCAUGACUUUGCUUAUACCCUGUUCUCUGUCCAGAGACCUAUUACUGGAGUCUGACACAAUUUUGAUCUGUAAUGCAUGUCUCAGUAGAGGGUUGAGCCUAACAUUGAACCCCAGCGGGCUCCUGCUGAGUUGGCUAAUUGGCUGACUCCCUGGGCCAACAGUGUGUAGUUCUCUGGUGUUUAUGGAGUCUUGAUUUUACUUUUCAUUUUUCUGGCUUAAAGCUUUUCCCCUUUGAAAUCCAUCAACUAAGAUCUUCAUUCAAAAGUUCUGAAGAGGAUCAUUGAGGAGUCAUUUUUCAAUUCGGAGGCUAUUGCUCUGUUGAAUAAUGAAUAGGUUUUCCUUCUAAGAGACCUACAGUGCAGAAAUGCCCAGAGCUUCUCUUCUAUGCUGCUUGGAAGAACUAUGGAACUGGAAGGAUUCUUAAAGACCUUGUACAACUCCCUGCUUUUGCAGUUGAGGAAACUGAGGCUUGGAGAGGUGAAGCAUAAGGAAAUCCCUGGCUAGUGGGCAAGCUAAGACGAAUCCUCCUGACCCAUGGCUGGCUCCAUGUUCUACAUUUUCUGUUGUCUGUGAAAGCUGAAAAGACAGCAAACCCCAAAAUAUCCAUCUCCCUCAUCUCCCCCAACCCAAAGCCAAACCCCAGACUCCCUUGUCUCAGGAACUGGUCCAGAAUGGCCUUAGUAGUCAGCUAAGAAGAGCUCUAUAUGAAGGCCUGGGAGGGCUGGCUGCCCAGACUCUGGCUGCCUGGGUGGGCUGCCAGGACCCCUCCUCUGUAUAGACCUGCCCCAGCUCAGCAAAGGAAGGACAUGUAAGGAAAAGGCAAGGCUACCAGUGGAACUGCAGUGCUGUUGGGGGUGGGUGUGAGUCUUUGCACCAGCUGACCUCUCCUUUUUCUGGGGCUGGAAGGAAUUUGAUGUCACCAGUAUCUUAGAGCCACAUGCCUCAUUCUUCAGGAACAACCUCUUGGGAUCCUGGAGGCAUACAAGGUCUCCUGAGGCCUUGGACUUGUGUCUGCAUGCCAGCAGAUGAGGCUGGAACUGUGACAGAGUGUGAGCACGUGCAGGUGACCUCUUCAAAUGCUUCUCCCUUGUUCCUUUCCUUGGGAGUCACACUGCCUGAUUUGUCCAGUGGUGGACACUCUUGAGCCUUUGAGGUUUAGUAUUAGGAUUGCCAGCAUAGGUUGGUCAAUUUUUAAUUUGAUUUCUAUGUUGAUAUGGUUUGAAUGUGUGUCCCCUCUAAAUCUUAAGUUGAAAUGUAAUCCCUGGUGUUGGAGGCGGGGCCUGGUGUAACGUGUUUGGGUCAAUGGGAAUGGAUCCUCCAUGAAUGUCUUGGUGCUGUCCUCCCAGUAAUGAGUGAGUUCUUGCUCUGAAUUCAUGUGAGAUCUGGUUGUUGAAAAGACAGGUUGUUAAAAGAGAGCAUCUCCUCUCUUGCUCCUUUGCUCCCUCUCUUGCCAUGUGACAUGCCUGCUCCCACUUCACUUUCUGCCAUGAGUAAAAGCUCCCUGAGUGCUCACCAGGAUCACAUGCUGGCACCAUGCUUCCUGUACAGCCUGCAUAACCAUGAGACAAAAUAAACCUUCUGUCUUUAUAAAUUACACAGCCUCAGGUAUUUCUUUAUGGCAAUGCAAGCAGACUAACACAUAUGUGGUAGCUUCUUUUGGCCAGGUUUCAAAGGGCAGGCAGAACAUGUGGCAGCUGACCUGCACAUAGAAUGCAGACCUAUGUGUGCUUCAGACACAUGGCUCACCUCUCAACCUUCAAGCCCCCACAAAUAAGUCACUGUUUAGGGGAGGGUGACAUUCAUUCUCUGCAAGCCUCCACAUUCGUAUGUCGUAGCAAUGUUUCUCUAAAUUGAGUACUCACAGACCCUGCAAGUUCCCCCUGCAGACCUCUAGGUGAUGUCAGACCUUAAACACAUGAAGUUAAAUUCUUUUCUUUCACCUGCCGUGCUCAGUCAGCAUGAGUGAUGUUGUAAACACAAACUCAGAAACUCAGACUGAAGCCAGAUGGCACCACAUGGCUAUAAGGUCAUUCCCAAAUGAUGUGGAAC
rnacentral:lncRNA from 1 species